CAUGGUGCCCCAACGGUCCUAUAGACUAAGAGAUAGGUAAAGGUAACUCCAGUGAUGAAAAGAAUUAAGGAAUCGAUAAGAAAAAAGUGUCAAAUACGCAAUUAAGAUUUAUGAAUAAAUAAAAAAAAACAGCUUAAAAA
rnacentral:sRNA from 1 species